rnacentral:rRNA from 1 species
CAGAUUGACCGUACCGCAAACCGACACAGGUGGGCAGGAUGAAAAUUCUAAGGCGCUUGAGAGAACUCAGGAGAAGGAACUCGGCAAAUUGAUACCGUAACUUCGGGAGAAGGUAUGCCUGUAGCGUGAAGCCCCUGCGGGUGGAGCGUGAUGAGGUCGCAGAGAAUCGGUGGCUGCAACUGUUUAAUAAAAACACAGCACUCUGCGAAGGCAAAAGCCGACGUAUAGGGUGUGACGCCUGCCCGGUGCCGGAAGGUUAAGUGAUGGGGUGCAAGCUCUUGAUCGAAGCCCCGGUAAACGGCGGCCGUAACGAUAACGGUCCUAAGGUAGCGAAAUUCCUUGUCGGGUAAGUUCCGACCUGCACGAAUGGCGUAAUGAUGGCCACACUGUCUCCUCCUGAGACUCAGCGAAGUUGAAAUGUUUGUGAAGAUGCAAUCUCCCCGCGGCUAGACGGAAAGACCCCAUGAACCUUUACUGUAGCUUUGCAUUGGACUUUGACGGGACUUGUGUAGGAUAGGUGGGAGGCUGUGAGGCGUGGUCGCCAGAUCGCGCGGAGCCAACCUUGAAAUACCACCCUGGUGUCGUUGAGGUUCUAACCUUGGUCCGUGAAUCCGGAUCGGGGACCGUGCAUGGCAGGCAGUUUGACUGGGGCGGUCUCCUCCCAAAGAGUAACGGAGGAGUACGAAGGUCUUCUAAGCACGGUCGGACAUCGUGCUCAUAGUGCAAUGGCAAAAGAAGGCUUGACUGCGAGACCCACAAGUCGAGCAGGUGCGAAAGCAGGUCAUAGUGAUCCGGUGGUUCUGUAUGGAAGGGCCAUCGCUCAACGGAUAAAAGGUACUCUGGGGAUAACAGGCUGAUUCCGCCCAAGAGUUCAUAUCGACGGCGGAGUUUGGCACCUCGAUGUCGGCUCAUCACAUCCUGGGGCUGUAGCCGGUCCCAAGGGUAUGGCUGUUCGCCAUUUAAAGUGGUACGUGAGCUGGGUUUAAAACGUCGUGAGACAGUUUGGUCCCUAUCUGCCGUGGGCGCUGGAUAUUUGAGGGGACCUGCUCCUAGUACGAGAGGACCGGAGUGGACGGAUCUCUGGUGUACCGGUUGUCACGCCAGUGGCAUCGCCGGGUAGCUAAAUCCGGAAGAGAUAAACGCUGAAAGCAUCUAAGCGUGAAACUCGCCUCAAGAUGAGAUAUCCCGGGGGUUCAACCCCCCUGAAGGGUCGUCCAAGACCAGGACGUUGAUAGGUCGGGUGUGGAAGCGCAGCAAUGCGUUAAGCUAACCGAUACUAAUUGCCCGUGCGGCUUGACCG